CACACAAGAGGUCCAUGGCACAGCAAGGAGCACGAGUGCUGCUUUUUUAUUCCUUGGACCGACAUUUAAUGUUACAGGGUUGCUUUUCCAGCUGGGAGUGACCUCAGCCAGAGCUUGGCUUCACCAGAGCAGAGUUAGUGCUUAGUGUCUUCAUCCACAGUGAUUCCAGCUGCAGACAUGGAGAGGGGGGGAAUGGAGCUGAGAUCAUGUCAAGUGAUCAUUGCAGGAAAAAAGAGACUGAAAGCACGUCCAUUUCUGCCUCCUGUCUGUGAUGUUCCAGCUGUCCAUGAAUAACCGGGUGGCUGCUGAGAAUAGCAGGAUGAUGACUGUCAUCUCUGCUGGUCUCUGCCAAGGCAGGGGAGAAAAUGACAAGCAGAAACACCAAGUAUAUGGCAAGAGCCAUUGCAUGAAUCGAGAGGGAGGAGUGGUUCUAGUCACCAAAGCUCAGCACUCCAUGGCAGAGGUAACAAAGCAAGAGGUUUAGUAAGCAUAAUUACUUUGCUCUGUGGAAACAUGCCUGAAACAACUGAAGAAGCACUGGAGUUGAGGUGUUUCUGCAAUCAUCUCCAUAAUUCCUGAAUCCCAAGAGAUGUGUUCAGGUUUUUGAGGCUCAUUCUGCUUCUGGCUCCGAGUAAGGAGAACACUCAAAUCCAUCCCUCUCAGCCAGCACUGCUGCUGCAUUUCACCUCCCUCAGACCAGAUGCAAUGGUGGGGACAAGUCUAAAAGCCAGAGCAGCCUCAAUGUUGCCCAGGUUCAGCAUCCUUGCAGCUGCAAAGCUGAAGUUCAAAGGUCUCUCUCUUUGCUUGGUGCACGCUGUGUUAAUUUGUCAAGUUUUAUCCGUUCCUGCUCCGCAGCAGCUGCAGCGUGUGAAUCCCUCCUGCUCCGCCAGCCCGCGGCUGGAAACGCACCCAGAGCAGCGCUCCGCAGCCUUUCUCAUGUAAAUGUUUGCUGGGGGGCCGCUAAUUAUCUCCCAAACCCAACUGAAGGCCCUUCAAUUGCUUUAACAGUCUGCAGUUCCAUGCCUUUGACAGCCCCAGCCAUGCCCGGCUUGUUCUGGCAUUCCUGGGCUCCUCACAUGGAUUUCUACUGUCAAACUGUGCCUUUUGUUAUCACUUACCAUCAGUCAGUGGCACUUCAGAUGAAGUAAUUUCCUUUUUGUUUCCUUGCUCGGUCCCUGCUGGUCAAUGCGGGAUGAGAUCACCUGAAUCUUAUUUGCGGGGACAAAGGGAAAGCUGGCAACCUCUCCAUAGGGCUUUUUCCCCCUCUUUGACCAGGGUGGGAGUUGUGCAGAACAAUGAACAUUCAUUUGCUAAGUGAUUUUGCAAGCAUGUUCUCAAGAAAUGCAAAUACUCCAGAACUGUGAUGGAGUUGUUUUCUACCCUUCAUCUAACCUUAGCCCCUGACCCUGCAGUUCUAUGUGCACGUUUCAGCCUCAGCUCAUGCUAAGGCAAUUGAAAGACUGCAUGCCUGAAGCUCAGCGUAUCUGCAAACCUCUCUAAGGUGGAGGUGCUAAGAUACAAGAGACCUUAAGCUUUUUGAAAACGCUGUUGUAUCUCAGCUUAAAAUAGAGACUGUUUAAACCUCUUGAGGUGUGUGCAAGGGAAUUUCAGUUGGAGGCAAGGAGCUUGAGAAUACAACUGUCUCCACAGAUAAAGUGGCUCUCUGAUGUUUGCCUUCCGCUAAGAUAACCUAAGGAAGCUGACGCCUCCAGGACUGUAUUGUUUCACAUCAUACCAUGUUCUGGCAGAGCAAAGGUGAUAGUAAAGGUGUUGAUUUAUGAAGUGGUGGCUGAGCUCCCAACCAGAAGCAGCAGAGAUGUUUUGCAUUUGAAAUACGACAGCUCAGAAGCAUGUGGUCUGUCUGGAGCCCAUGCGUGUGCUGGAUUUCUGGAGCCUGGUCAAAGUCACCCACUGAUUUGGGGAUGUUGAAUGGGUUUCUCUUGCUUCUCCCCAGCUGCCUGCCUCUCACUGUAGGCAGAGGGGCAACAAGACCUUCCUCCUGUUGGGUUUUGAAUGAAGUUGGCCAGUACAUUCAGUAAUGAUUAAGGGAGGCAAAUGUGCAUACGCUUCCCCUAGAAAAUGAAGCGAAAAGUGGAAUUAAUCUUUCCCAAACAGUUAAUGGACUUCAAAGAACAAACCCUCUUCAGGGCUUAGACUGUGGAAGAGAUUGGCAAGGGAUGGUGAGAAGGGAUAAAUUUAGCAGGAUGGGACAAGCCAAUCUGAAGACCCCCUCUCACAUCACAAAUGUAGUCCCAUGAGGUCAUUCAGUGGGAGAGCCUCUGCUUAAUUCCAGCAUAAUUGCUGCUCUGGGUGCAGUUCUCCUGCCUUCUGAAGAUGUCUUGAUGCUGGCCAGUGGAAAACUGCUCUAAACAUGGGGUUUUUAAGGUAUCAGACCAAGCCAAGGGCAAUGCACCACGGAGGCAUGAGUAUGAUUGGAGUCCACUAAGAUGCAGGGAUGAGAAAACACAUUAUCUUAUUCCCUCAAGUAGGGAGAAUUAACUGCAUGUAAACAUGGGCAUUGCAAGUCCUGGAAAUAGUCACUAGGACAGCACAGCAGCAAAUGCAGAUAUAAUUUAACCCUUCUCCUUUUAUCCUUCAUGCUUCAGAGCUGCAGUGGUCACCAUGUCAGAGGUGCAAAAUAUUGGAGUGGCUUAGGAAUGACCUUUCAUAAUACUGGAAAAAUUUCCUUGAAAAUUCAAUAUUAGAAGAUUAUGAUGCAGAAAUUAGGAUUUAAGGAAGAAUUUUAAACUUGAUAGGAAUGAAAAACUCAUCCAAGGACCUGGAUAAAUUAUAGCUAAUCAGAUUUAUGGUGGAUAAUUGCUUUAGGAAAUCAAGUGUGUGCAAGGGGAACAUCCAGGAGGCAGGUAUGGGAGCUUCUUUAGCCGGUGGGUGACUGCCCAGCUUGUGCAGAAAGAAAUUCAAAGGGGAGGAAUGGCCAGGGCUGCCCAAGGGCAGGAGCAAGAGGAUCCCAGCAUCACUGCCCAAAGCACCAUGCGGCCCCAGCCAGGGUUGAGGAUGCUGCAGGUGCCACCUGCAAGGCACCGGCUCAGGCUUCAGAGCUGCUGCAUUAAUAACAUCACCCUUGUUCAAGGUUAUGGUGUGAGUUGAUUGCUCCUGAUUAGGGAUUUGUAUUCACUUGUGAGAGCCUGCAAUUUUUAUUACCUUUAUGGUAAUAACUGCAAAUAAUAAAAUGACAAACUAUUGUAAUUAAACUUUAAUUAAUUACAAACCCAUUACUUUUAAGUUUAUUCACGGUAAGGACAAUGAUACUGAAAACAAUUCAUUAAAGCACUUGAUAUGUAAAUUGUGAAGGAAAGCAUUAAUAUUGGGUAGCUCAUGUAUUUACUUUCUGCAGAGCAGUAGAGAAUUUGCUUAAGGAAAGGCAGCCCCCCUGGAUGAUUUUAACUGCUUGCUUUAGGGAGCAGUGAAACACCGGAUACUCUCAAGGUGAAAUAAUUCCCAAACUCAGGUUUUGCAUCCUUUAAAGCAAAAUGCUUAGCAAGCAGAAAAAAGAGAUCCCUGUCUGACCUUGCACUGUGCAUGGCUAAUCACUUUAACAGCCGCGGGGAGACGUGGCAAUCCUGUAGAGGUGGGGAAGAGGGCAGUCAUCCCGUUCCACAUAUGUUUUACUCCUGAUGGGUAACCCUACAUACACAGUGCUCGGGGAGAGGGUCAGCAUCGCUUUUGUAACACCAAGCAAGCAAUGUGCCCUUUGCUUCAGCUAUAAACACCUCCCCCUCAAACACUUUCUAUCUUACUGAGUUAGUGCUGCUCCAUCAGGCUGGCAAACCUCCUGUUCCGACUCUCUAAACUGAAAUAAUCUCAUGUCUGAUGGUCUAUUUGUCUUCAGCUUUUGCUGAUUUAAUUCAGUGUAACAAGCUGAGCUGGACUGUGCUUUCCCCAGAUAACCUGAGCACAGAUCACUGCACAUCACUGCAGUAAAACACGGGCCAUGUCGGGUACAGGAUGCUGAUUGUGCACCCCUAUCAUGCCAUUCAUGGUCACAAAG